UAAAAAGACCACUUUUAUUGGUACUCCGUAUGUACAAAGCACCUCAUUGGUACAACAGAAAAGUGUUGCACUGAAACUCGUGCCAUGCAAAAUGGCAACAUACCAAGAGAUUGGAUUAAUUUAGGUGAAUGUACAGCGUUAUUGCUUCUGCGAGAAGUGGUACAAGUGGAAAAAAGAAAAAGGAACAGCUGAUAUCACAAAUGUAUCUGUUACGAAAGUAAAUUUGUUCGGCGACCGUGGCGACAUGGAUGGUACGCCGUUAAGGGAGAAAAAAAAAAAAGGAAAUAA